GAUGAACGCUGGCGGCGUGCCUAAUACAUGCAAGUCGAGCGAACGGACGAGAAGCUUUCCUCUCUUAUGUUAGCGGCGGACGGGUGAGUAACACGUGGAGAACCUACCUAUAAGACUGGGAUAACUUCGUGAAACCGGAGCUAAUACCGGAUGAUAUUUUGAACCGCAUGGUUCAAAAGUUAAAGACGUUCUUGCUGUCACUUAUAGAUGGAUCCGCGCUGCAUUAGCUAGUUGGUAAGGUAACGGCUUACCAAGGCAACGAUGCAUAGCCGACCUGAGAGGGUGAUCGGCCACACUGGAACUGAGACACGGUCCAGACUCCUACGGGAGGCAGCAGUAGGGAAUAUUCCGCAAUGGGCGAAAGCCUGACGGAGCAACGCCGCGUGAGUGAUGAAGGUCUUCGGAUCGUAAAACUCUGUUAUUAGGGAAGAACAUAUGUGUAAGUAACUGUGCACAUAUUGACGGUACCUAAUGAGAAAGCAACGGCUAACUACGUG
rnacentral:rRNA from 1 species